GAUGAACGCUGGCGGCGUGCCUAAUACAUGCAAGUCGAGCGAACAGACGAGGAGCUUGCUCCUCUGACGUUAGCGGCGGACGGGUGAGUAACACGUGGAUAACCUACCUAUAAGACUGGGAUAACUUCGGGAAACCGGAGCUAAUACCGGAUAAUAUAUUGAACCGCAUGGUUCAAUAGUGAAAGACGGUUUUGCUGUCACUUAUAGAUGGAUCCGCGCCGCAUUAGCUAGUUGGUAAGGUAACGGCUUACCAAGGCAACGAUGCGUAGCCGACCUGAGAGGGUGAUCGGCCACACUGGAACUGAGACACGGUCCAGGCUCCUACGGGAGGCAGCAGUAGGGAAUCUUCCGCAAUGGGCGAAAGCCUGACGGAGCAACGCCGCAUGAGUGAUGAAGGUCUUCGGAUCGUAAAACUCUGUUAUUAGGGAAGAACAAAUGUGUAAGUAACUAUGCACGUCUUGACGGUACCUAAUCAGAAAGCCACGGCUAACUACGUG
rnacentral:rRNA from 1 species